CGUAGGGUGCGAGCGUUAAUCGGAAUUACUGGGCGUAAAGCGUGCGCAGGCGGUUUAGUAAGACAGGCGUGAAAUCCCCGGGCUCAACCUGGGAACUGCGCUUGUGACUGCUAAGCUAGAGUACGGCAGAGGGGGGUGGAAUUCCACGUGUAGCAGUGAAAUGCGUAGAGAUGUGGAGGAACACCAAUGGCGAAGGCAGCCCCCUGGGUCGAUACUGACGCUCAUGCACGAAAGCGUGGGUAGCAAACAGGAUUAGAUACCCUGGUAGUCCACGCCCUAAACGAUGUCAACUAGGUGUUGGGAGGGUAAAACCUUUUAGUACCGGAGCUAACGCGUGAAGUUGACCGCCUGGGGAUACGGCCGCAAGGUUA
rnacentral:rRNA from 1 species